rnacentral:rRNA from 1 species
CCUACGGGAGGCAGCAGUGGGGGAUAUUGCACAAUGGGGGUAACCCUGAUGCAGCGACGCCGCGUGGGUGAAGAAGCGCCUCGGCGCGUAAAGCCCUGUCAGCAGGGAAGCAAAUGACGGUACCUGAAGAAGAAGCCCCGGCUAACUACGUGCCAGCAGCCGCGGAAAUACGUAGGGGGCACGCGUUAUCCGGAUUUACUGGGUGUAAAGGGGGCGCAGACGGGUAUGCAAGCCAGGAGUGAAAGCCCGGGGCCCAACCCCGGGACUGCCGUUGGAACUGGGUGGCUGGAGUGCAAGAGGGGCAGGCGGAAUGCGUGGUGUAGCGGUGAAAUGCGUAGAUAUCACGAAGAACACCGAUGGCGAAGGCAGCCUGCUGGACUGCAACUGACGUUGAGGCACGAAAGCGUGGGGAGCGAACAGGAUUAGAUACCCUAGUAGUC